CGCGUAGGCGGCUUGGUCAGUCGGAUGUGAAAGCCCCGGGCUUAACCUGGGAAUUGCACUCGAUACUGCUGAGCUAGAGUAUGGGAGAGGGAAGUGGAAUUUCCGGUGUAGCGGUGAAAUGCGUAGAUAUCGGAAGGAACACCAGUGGCGAAGGCGACUUCCUGGCCCAAAACUGACGCUGAGGUGCGAAAGCGUGGGUAGCGAACA
rnacentral:rRNA from 1 species